rnacentral:rRNA from 1 species
UGGGGAAUAUUGCACAAUGGGGGAAACCCUGAUGCAGCAACGCCGCGUGGAGGAAGAAGGUCUUCGGAUUGUAAACUCCUGUCUUCUGGGACGAAGAAUGACGGUACCAGAGGAGGAAGCCACGGCUAACUACGUGCCAGCAGCCGCGGUAAUACGUAGGUGGCGAGCGUUGUCCGGAAUUACUGGGCGUAAAGGGCGCGUAGGCGGCCUGUUAAGUCAGAUGUGAAAACCCCGGGCUCAACCUGGGGAGUGCAUUUGAAACUGAUGGGCUAGAGUGUCGGAGAGGGAAGCGGAAUUCCUAGUGUAGCGGUGAAAUGCGUAGAUAUUAGGAGGAACACCAGUGGCGAAGGCGGCUUUCUGGACGAUAACUGACGCUGAGGCGCGAAAGCGUGGGGAGCAAACAGG